rnacentral:lncRNA from 1 species
GAGUAAUCCUAUCAAAUGCAGGUGCACAGAAAUUAGGAGAUCAGAACAGCUCCUUGCAUUUCUUGCUACAUUUCCAGUAUUUUCCCAUUCCCUUGCUCAGUGCCUUGUCAGCACACCUAGAAUUGAGGGUGUGAUAAGAGAGGAGCAGAAAAGUAAGACUGAAAUAUUGUCCAAUACGACUAAGAAUUUUGCAGAAUGCAAUAAUUGUUUUAAACACAACAGCAGUUUAUGGUUAUCAAGGCACCAAGGAAUAGCACUGCCAAGAAUUUACUGAGCAGUAGGGCUUCUCUGACAGGAACUGCGCAGCAAUGUUCUCCCAGCAGCUUGACGUCAUUCUGCAUUGGUUGGAGUGAGAUUGGACAGAGCGUGGCUGAAGCUGACAGGAAAGAGAUUAUGCAGGCUGAACAAUUUUAUCUGGGAAGAGAUGUGGCCAACUUUCUAGGGCUGACUUUGAUCCAGUAGAACAUGUCUUUUACAAGCAUUUACUUUACCAACUGGGAGCUCAGUACCCUCCCCUGUGAAAAACACCCAGGCAAGUCCAAGUCCCACAGAGUUGUUGCAACAGAGGGAAAAACAAGUGGGAUUCCAUUCAGCUUGGCUCCUAAAAAGAUCCUUAUUGGUGCUUGUGCCUGUACUACUAAGAGAGUUGUGGAAACCUUGGAAUGUGCCCAGAGUAGAGCAAUGGAAAUGAUUGGGAAAGAGGAUCUAUGAGAAAAGGCUCAAAGAAUUGAUAUGGGUGUAGAAAUAAAAUUGUGUGGAAUUACAGAUAAACUAUUUCAGGAGUAUGAAGUUAAACAAACAAGAGAAGAUGAAGGAGGAAAAGAAGAAGAUGGAGGAGGACAAAGUUUUCAGAAGUGCUUAUUAGAGCUAUUACAUGCCAAAUAUCUACUCUGUGGGAAAAGCAAAUUUCACAUUUUUAUCAACUCUGUAUUCACACAUCUGAUCAAGAGAUGUUAGAAGCCAGUUCUUGAGAAUGGCAGGACCACCUUGUGGACAUAACCUGGGUCGGUGAAUGACUGCACGGAGCAGAGUCCUACCUGUCAAGACGUCAGAUUAUGAUGUGAAUAAGCAAUAAACAUAUAUUUUGUUAACUCAUUAGAUUUGGGAAUCU